UGCAACAGGAGACCUUCUGAAGCAGACAGGAUUGACCAGGACCUCAGAGUGACAGCUUGCAGAGUGUGUUCUACUAACCCAUCUUCUCCAGUGGCUGGAUCGACAGUGUGGCGGGAUGGGCUCAUGCACCAGCUGUGUGCCUCGGGAAGUGACUUUGAUGAUGGUUGGAGAAGAUGGUGCAGGAAAGACACCUCUAUUCCAAGUUAUAACAGGAGGUGACACGGCCGCAAAGCUGGACUCUCCUGCUAUCUCUGAGGCAGAGGUGCAUCUGACUGGCUGGCAGAUGACCCUGCUAGACAUGCCAGGAGGUCCUGGUGCCCGGGCUCUCUGGUUGGAGAACU